rnacentral:ncRNA from 2 species
CAUCCAUCACGACCGGCCGAGGGAUCAGGACCGAAGACGCCGGGGCAACCGACGUGCGGGCGACUGCACGGAAUGGUGCCACCUCCUGCGGGGAGCCUCGGCUCGCCGGAAGAUGGAGC